rnacentral:rRNA from 1 species
GGAAACGGGUUAAUAUUCCCGUACUUGGUGUUACUGCGAAGGGGGGACGGAGAAGGCUAUGUUGGCCGGGCGACGGUUGUCCCGGUUUAAGCGUGUAGGCUGGUUUUCCAGGCAAAUCCGGAAAAUCAAGGCUGAGGCGUGACGACGAGGCACUACGGUGCUGAAGCAACAAAUGCCCUGCUUCCAGGAAAAGCCUCUAAGCAUCAGGUAACAUCAAAUCGUACCCCAAACCGACACAGGUGGUCAGGUAGAGAAUACCAAGGCGCUUGAGAGAACUCGGGUGAAGGAACUAGGCAAAAUGGUGCCGUAACUUCGGGAGAAGGCACGCUGACACGUAGGUGAAGUGAUUUACUCACGGAGCUGAAGUCAGUCGAAGAUACCAGCUGGCUGCAACUGUUUAUUAAAAACACAGCACUGUGCAAACACGAAAGUGGACGUAUACGGUGUGACGCCUGCCCGGUGCCGGAAGGUUAAUUGAUGGGGUCAGCGCAAGCGAAGCUCCUGAUCGAAGCCCCGGUAAACGGCGGCCGUAACUAUAACGGUCCUAAGGUAGCGAAAUUCCUUGUCGGGUAAGUUCCGACCUGCACGAAUGGCGUAAUGAUGGCCAGGCUGUCUCCACCCGAGACUCAGUGAAAUUGAACUCGCUGUGAAGAUGCAGUGUACCCGCGGCAAGACGGAAAGACCCCGUGAACCUUUACUAUAGCUUGACACUGAACAUUGAGCCUUGAUGUGUAGGAUAGGUGGGAGGCUUUGAAGCGUGGACGCCAGUCUGCGUGGAGCCGACCUUGAAAUACCACCCUUUAAUGUUUGAUGUUCUAACGUGGACCCGUAAUCCGGGUUGCGGACAGUGUCUGGUGGGUAGUUUGACUGGGGCGGUCUCCUCCUAAAGAGUAACGGAGGAGCACGAAGGUUGGCUAAUCCUGGUCGGACAUCAGGAGGUUAGUGCAAUGGCAUAAGCCAGCUUGACUGCGAGCGUGACGGCGCGAGCAGGUGCGAAAGCAGGUCAUAGUGAUCCGGUGGUUCUGAAUGGAAGGGCCAUCGCUCAACGGAUAAAAGGUACUCCGGGGAUAACAGGCUGAUACCGCCCAAGAGUUCAUAUCGACGGCGGUGUUUGGCACCUCGAUGUCGGCUCAUCACAUCCUGGGGCUGAAGUAGGUCCCAAGGGUAUGGCUGUUCGCCAUUUAAAGUGGUACGCGAGCUGGGUUUAGAACGUCGUGAGACAGUUCGGUCCCUAUCUGCCGUGGGCGCUGGAGAACUGAGGGGGGCUGCUCCUAGUACGAGAGGACCGGAGUGGACGCAUCACUGGUGUUCGGGUUGUCAUGCCAAUGGCACUGCCCGGUAGCUAAAUGCGGAAGAGAUAAGUGCUGAAAGCAUCUAAGCACGAAACUUGCCCCGAGAUGAGUUCUCCCUGAGACUUAGAGUCUCCUGAAGGAACGUUGAAGACGACGACGUUGAUAGGCCGGGUGUGUAAGCGCAGCGAUGCGUUGAGCUAACCGGUACUAAUGAACCGUGAGGCUUAACCUUACAACGCCGAAG